rnacentral:ncRNA from 1 species
GAACUUAGAGGUUGAAAAGUAUCCGUCUCCAACGCGGCAUCUUGUCCAAGAUGUGUCGAGAAAUGCGGGCGACAUUCGGCGGUCCCGCCUAAGUUA